GCAAAUCCAAUCAAGAGUUAGAGAUUAAUCAGCACAUCAGCAAAACAGUGUUUGUGGGGGAAACAGUCACACUUCACUGCAACAAAGCUACAGCAGAUUAUGAAUUUACAUGGAAAAUGAACAACUCCGUUUUUUUUACACAUUCUUCAGUGAAGAACAAAACUCACACAAACUUCAGCUCAAACAGGAUUCACAUCAACCCAGCAGCUCCAAGACAAUUAACAAUACAGCAAAUACAAGUGUCUGAUGCAGGAAACUACACCUGUUAUCCAGCAGGAACAAGAUGGACAUUGACAAUAACAGAACCCCAACAAAAUGCCUACAUAAUCAUCAUCAUCGUCACAUCUUCUGGAGUCACUAUAGCCUGUCUCAUAAUUACUAUCUGCAUGUGCAAACACAGGAGAUGUAAAAACAACACAGAGAGUCAACAAGAGAGUCACAGAGAAACGUCACAGGCACAAUCCAGAGGAAGGAUACAAACUCAAAGAAGUCAGUACUUUGAGAGAUACAACUCAGUGUAUGGACAAAUAUGAUGUAAUUCUUUGUGUUAAUUUAGUUUUUCAAAGUUGGAUUCUGAGAUGGAAACAAGAACAUUUUCUAGUUUAGCAGUUAAAGUUUCGUUUUAAAUUUG